UACCGCUCUCACUCCUCUCCUCUUCCUCCUCCUUUUGAUCCAUUGACACCGGACUGACAGAGGGAAGAUCCUGAGAAGAAAAACAUAAUUUUUUUACUAAUAUGUGUUUCCAGGGAAACUCUACCGGAUGUUUUUUUCAGGCCCGUUAAGAGAGAGAACGAAGUCCUACCUGAGUCCUGGCAUCGCUGGCAGAGCUUCUCCUCGACAGUGGUGUAACAGCACGAUGUCCACCGAUUGUUGGAAGGGGUACUUCCAUUUUAUCAUGACCUUGACCAUGCCCCGGGGUCCGCCUGCUGGAUCCCUCAGAACAUAGUCACCUGGCAGGACAGAGCCAGGGCUCGCAGCGGGAUGGGGGUCUUGGCCAAAUAGGCAGGAGGUAUCUGGUCAUCGCUGUCAUCAAACACAUACACCCACAAACUGCUGGACCUGGGCAAAAGUGGAGUUGAAUGUCGUCAAUAUUUUAUGAAUAUAUGGUUAUUUAAAGCACUAACUUUAUAAGAACUGAAAAGCUUUAUAAAAGCUUUUUAUGCUUUAUGCAUUAAUUUGGCUUAACUUAAGAGGUAAGAGACAACUUAAUUGCUAAAUCAAGACAAAAAAAACCCUUAUAAAAGAAAGAAGGCUGAGUCACAAAAGGUAAAUGCCCACUUCAAUAUAAUCUGAAUUUCUGACUUUUUUUCCCCCUGUUUCCAGACUAUCAUACCUCAGGUAGUGCAACACAUCAUUUGUUACUGCUAAUGGGUAGCUGGUGGUAUCAUUGAACACCGGGUCAGCGCUGUACUGGACUGUUUGAGACACGUGAGGAGGCAGGUCAUAGAACCUGUAUGUCAGGUAGGCAUCAGGAAGAAGUCCAGGCCAGCGAGCAUUAAGGCCCACGCAGCUUUCCAACAUAACCACCAACUCAUUGGGGAUCCCCCCACCGUAGUCAUGUGACUCCUGCAGACAGCGUGGAAAAUUUAGAUUUAAAAAAAAUCAGCAGCAUCAUAUGUUUCCAAAAAACAUGUCCCUGUUACUCUGAUUAAUUCUU